rnacentral:rRNA from 1 species
AGAACGAACGCUGGCGGCAUGCCUAACACAUGCAAGUCGAACGAGACCUUCGGGUCUAGUGGCGCACGGGUGCGUAACGCGUGGGAAUCUGCCCUUAGGUUCGGAAUAACAGUUAGAAAUGACUGCUAAUACCGAAUAAUGACGUAAGUCCAAAGAUUUAUCGCCUAAGGAUGAGCCCGCGUAGGAUUAGCUUGUUGGUGAGGUAAAAGCUCACAAGGCGACGAUCCUUAGCUGGUCUGAGAGGAUGAUCAGCCACACUGGGACUGAGACACGGACCCAGACUCCUACGGGAGGCAGCGAGUGGGGGAAUAUUGGACAAGUGGGACGAAAGCCUAGAUCCAGCAAGUGCCGCGUGGAGUGA